AACGAACGCUGGCGGCAGGCUUAACACAUGCAAGUCGAACGCAUCCUUCGGGGUGAGUGGCAGACGGGUGAGUAACGCGUGGGAGCGUGCCCUUCAGUUCGGGAUAACCCAGGGAAACUUGGGCUAAUACCGGAUACGUGCGAGAGCAGAAAGAUUUAUCGCUGAAGGAUCGGCCCGCGUCUGAUUAGGUAGUUGGUGGGGUAAUGGCCCACCAAGGCGACGAUGAGUAGCUGGUCUGAGAGGAUGAUCAGCCACAUUGGGACUGAGACACGGCCCAAACUCCUACGGGAGGCAGCAGUGGGGAAUAUUGGACAAUGGGCGCAAGCCUGAUCCAGCCAUGCCGCGUGAGUGAUGAAGGCCUUAGGGUUGUAAAGCUCUUUCGUCCGGGACGAUAAUGACGGUACCGGAAGAAGAAGCCCCGGCUAACUUCGUGCCAGCCGCCGCAGUAA
rnacentral:rRNA from 1 species